AUGGCGCCCUCCCACAUCUAUCUGAAACCCACAGCGACCCCUUUUCUUGCGCCAACCCGACACCACCACCGCCCCCGUCAUCCACCUCCACCCCCAUCAUCCCGUGCCUGCCAGGCGACGGAUCCGGCAGGACCCUCCUCCACUCCCUCCUACUGUGCCUGCCCGGCGACGAAUCCGGCCGGAUGCUCCUCCACCUCCGUCCUCCCGUGCCUGCCCGCCGGCUGGAUCCUCCUACACCUCCCUUUUCCCAUGAUAGCCGGCGGAUACGGCGAGAUCCUCCUGCAGCUCCUUCCUCUACGGCGGUGUCGAGCUCUCUGCCCUCCACUCUAUGUCCGGGCUCCCGCACCCCACGCACCGUCCACCAUGGACUUCCCUGACGACGACGCCCGACGAGCAGAGGCGCAGUCCGGCUCCACGAGGGCAUGCAGUGCGGCGCUCCCGGCCUUCCCACUGGCGGUGUGGUUCGCCCCCACCCCCCACACCCACCUCCCUGGCGACCGCUUGCCCGCGGUUGAUUCCUCUCCGCCUGGUCCUUUCCAUGAUGGGAUCUGCAGUUCUCUUCUACCACUUCGCGGCUCACUUGUUGGUAGAGAGAAGGAUGGCGGCGGCUACUACUUCGGUGGGAGCAGCAGGAGAGUUUGUGGUGGCGCUUCUGCCUCUGGAUAUCACGGGCGGUUCGCUUGGGUCCUCGGUGAAGUGCAGCUGGUUGUUUCGGCUGGCACGGCCAUGUGGUUCAGCCAGCUCCUGCUUGUAGUCGCCAUGGUAGCCUGGACACUCUGGCUUGUUGCAUGUUGCACCUUGUCGUCGGUGGUGCAGUCUGCACGCGUGCAAUACCGUGAUGCAGUGCGAAUUAACCGAUGCAAGUCCAAGAAGGAUUGGCCGGUGCUAGGAAGCAUUACUCCUCUUUUCAUUCCAAAUUAUCCAAUAAGACCGAUACGAUUGAUUGGUGUUUGCAUUUCUCUUAUUACUUUUUUGUAUCCCCCUGUUCCUCGGAUACAAUUCGAUCCUUCUACGGCCAAAUCUCAAUUUGUGGAAAGCCUUCGAUGGCUUCCUUAUGAAAACAUCCAUCUAGCUGGCGUCAUAUUCGAUCCCGCGUAUCAGUAUCUGAUCGAGCACCUUGUGGCCAAAGUGAGUGCUGACAGUGCGAGAUCUCACCCUCUAAUCGAUUUGUUCAUACCAACCAUCGACAACGAGCACGGCUUAUGCUACACCCAUCCUGAAAAACUUCUAGGUAUCACACCGAGUGGCCUAAGAAAGCAUUUCUUCCAGAGCAACUCUAGGGCAUUCAAAAGGGGCACGUGGAUGCGUCGCAAGAUACAGUCGGAGUGCGUCAUGCACGCGAUGUGGCACAAGACCGGCAAUACCUUGCCGGUGAUGGUCAACGGCCAGCAGACGGGUAGCAACAAGGUUCUGGUGAUGCACACCAACAAGAACUUCGACCAGCAGAGGACCAACUGGGUGGUGCACCAGUACCACCUCGGUGACCUGGAGCAAGACAAGGAGCGGGAGCUGGUCCUCUGCAAGAUUUUCUACCAGACAAACACUAGGGCCGGGACUAAAAAUAUUAUAAGUUAG
rnacentral:rRNA from 1 species